rnacentral:rRNA from 1 species
UGGGAAUAUUGCACAAUGGGCGGAAGCCUGAUGCAGCAACGCCGCGUGCGGGAUGACGGCCUUCGGGUUGUAAACCGCUUUCGCCUGUGACGAAGCGUGAGUGACGGUAAUGGGUAAAGAAGCACCGGCUAACUACGUGCCAGCAGCCGCGGUGAUACGUAGGGUGCGAGCGUUGCCCGGAUUUAUUGGGCGUAAAGGGCUCGUAGGUGGUUGAUCGCGUCGGAAGUGUAAUCUUGGGGCUUAACCCUGAGCGUGCUUUCGAUACGGGUUGACUUGAGGAAGGUAGGGGAGAAUGGAAUUCCUGGUGGAGCGGUGGAAUGCGCAGAUAUCAGGAGGAACACCAGUGGCGAAGGCGGUUCUCUGGGCCUUUCCUGACGCUGAGGAGCGAAAGCGUGGGGAGCGAACAGGCUUAGAUACCCUGGUAGUCCACGCUGUAAACGGUGGGUACUAGGUGUGGGGUCCAUUCCACGGGUUCCGUGCCGUAGCUAACGCUUUAAGUACCCCGCCUGGGGAGUACGGCCGCAAGGCUA